CCAGCCAUGCCGCGUGUGUGAAGAAGGCCCUCGGGUUGUAAAGCACUUUCAGUGAGGAAGAACGCCUGGUGGUUAAUACCCAUCAGGAAAGACAUCACUCACAGAAGAAGCACCGGCUAACUCCGUGCCAGCAGCCGCGGUAAUACGGAGGGUGCGAGCGUUAAUCGGAAUUACUGGGCGUAAAGCGCGCGUAGGUGGCUUGAUAAGCCGGUUGUGAAAGCCCCGGGCUCAACCUGGGAACGGCAUCCGGAACUGUCAAGCUAGAGUGCAGGAGAGGAAGGUAGAAUUCCCGGUGUAGCGGUGAAAUGCGUAGAGAUCGGGAGGAAUACCAGUGGCGAAGGCGGCCUUCUGGACUGACACUGACACUGAGGUGCGAAAGCGUGGGUAGCAAACAGGAUUAGAUACCCUGGUAGUCCACGCCGUAAACGAUGUCGACCAGCCGUUGGGUGCCUAGCGCACUUUGUGGCGAAGUUAACGCGAUAAGUCGACCGCCUGGGGAGUACGGCCGCAAGGUUAAAACUCAAAUGAAUUGACGGGGGCCCGCACAAGCGGUGGAGCAUGUGGUUUAAUUCGAUGCAACGCGAAGAACCUUACCUACUCUUGACAUCCUGCGAACUUGUGAGAGAUCACUUGGUGCCUUCGGGAACGCAGAGACAGGUGCUGCAUGGCUGUCGUCAGCUCGUGUUGUGAAAUGUUGGGUUAAGUCCCGUAACGAGCGCAACCCUUGUCCUUAUUUGCCAGCGCGUAAUGGCGGGAACUCUAAGGAGACUGCCGGUGACAAACCGGAGGAAGGUGGGGACGACGUCAAGUCAUCAUGGCCCUUACGAGUAGGGCUACACACGUGCUACAAUGGUCGGUACAAAGGGUUGCCAACUCGCGAGAGUGAGCCAAUCCCCGAAAAGCCCGAUCUCAGUCCGGAUCGGAGUCUGCAACCUCGACUCCGUGAAGUCGGAAUCGCUAGUAAUCGUGG
rnacentral:rRNA from 1 species